GCUGCUGACUGAAUCUAUUUUAUGGUAAAUUUUACCUAUUUCAUGGUUUCCAUGGAUUAGCUAGCAAUUUAGCAUACAUAACACCAAAUAUGAUCAUGAUUAGCCAUUCCAAUGGCUAAUCAUUACCAAGCAUUUCCACACCACUCAAUAACCAUAUCAUAAGACCAUAUAUACAAAAUGAUUAUAAUGCUAUACAUGCCAAACUCAAAAUAUACAAGCCAUUAUGCCAAGAUGGUAUACGGAUAGUGUGAGCGAGCCUCCGACCGUUCCCGAUUUCCGAGCUGGCUUGUCAAAACUACAAGGAAUGAAAAGAAGGGAGUAAGCAUAAAUGCUUAGCAAGUUCACAUGCAAAUAGCAAGUAACAUAACCAUAUAAGCAAACAUAAAACAUCAUUUGCAUAAUCAUCACCAAGACAUUCAUAUCACAUUUUCAUUUAUCAUCUUACCAUAUUGUUGUUAUAUCGAUUUUUCAACCCGAGGGUUAAGUACAUACCUGUUCAAAGUACCCAUUUCACAACACUUACCAAUACGUCCCUUUCAUCUUAAGUAUUCCUCCAUUUCAGUAGAACUUUACCCGUUGAACACAUCGGAAUAUAAUUCGGAUACAUGGAAAGUUUGCACAUAAGUGCCACAUAUGUAGCCAAGCUACCAUGUAACCCGCCCAUAAGUGAACUCGGACUCAACUCAACGAGCUCGGGCGUUCGCAUCCAUAAGUGAACUCGGACUCAACUCAACGAGCUCGGAUGCCUAGUUACAUCUCUCGAACUCGGACUCAACUCAACGAGUUCGGACAUUUGCAUCCAUAAGUGAACUCGGACUCAACUCAACGAGUUCGGAUGCCCAAACAUCCUAGUGACAUGUCACUUGUAUCCUAAUCUAUUCCUAAGGUUCAAACGGGCGUUUUCCUUGAUCACACAUCUUUGCCAUCUUCCACGGAAUAUCGAAAUUGAUACUUCGAUGAUAGUUCAUACUCAUCAAGUAAUUCACAUAAUUACAUAUUAUUCAACAAUAACCACAAAGCAUAAUAUUUCAUGAUAAUAAUCAGCAUCAUAUCAUAUAAACAACAUUAAAUUGCUUAAAAUGACAAUUAUGUUACUACAUUUACACAUGAACUUACCUCGUAUGCGAAAAUGGCUACUUUUACCAUUUCGUCCGCAACUUGGUAUUUUCCCCAUUUUAGCCCGAAUUUUAGUUUUCCUUGCUCUAUCAUUUAAAAUAUAGUCUAAUUAGGACUCACAUUAUUCAAAUUGACCCAAAAUAAUAUUUUGGAAAAAUUACAAUUUUGCCCCUAAAUUUUUGCAUAUUUACACUUUUUCCCCAAAGCUCGUAAAUUAAACUUCAGCCUAUUUUCUUAUGUUUUAUGACAUGCUGAUCAUUUUUCCCUUCUAUGGCAACAUCAAAUUCUCACUCUAACAUGUACUUAUGACUAUUAGGUAUUUUUACCGAUUAAGCCCUUUUGCUAGUUUUCGCUUAAAACCGAGUAGCACAAGUUGUCUAACAUAAUUUAAAACCUCAUAUUCUAUCAUAAAACACCAAAACACACAAAUUUCACCUAUGGGUAUUUUUCCAAAUAUGAACCCUAGGUUGAAUUAUUGCUAGCAUAAGCUUAAUUGAGCUACCGGGACUCCAAAAACGUAAAAAUCAUUAAAAACGAGGCUAGAACGGACUUACAAUCGAGCUUGGAAGCUUGAAAAACCCUAGCCAUGGUUUCUCCUUGCUAUAUUCGGCCAU
rnacentral:lncRNA from 1 species